rnacentral:rRNA from 1 species
CCUACGGGUGGCUGCAGUGGGGAAUCUUCCGCAAUGGACGAAAGUCUGACGGAGCAACGCCGCGUGAGUGAAGAAGGUUUUCGGAUCGUAAAGCUCUUUCGUUAGGGACGAACGUGCUCUUUGUGAAUAAUGAGGAGUAAUGACGGUACCUAAAUAAGAAGCCACGGCUAACUACGUGCCAGCAGCCGCGGUAAUACGUAGGUGGCAAGCGUUGUCCGGAAUUAUUGGGCGUAAAGCGCGCGCAGGCGGGAUAUCAAGUCUGUCUUAAAAGUGCG